GUCUGGAAAACAACUUUUACAAGGUCUCCAACUGGCAUAAAACGUUUUCAAGUAUGAAAACAUCUCUGGGCUUCCUCAACCGGCUGAUAGAUCCCUGCAGGACCAAAGAUCAGAUGAUAUACAUUAGAAGCUUCCUUUCCUCUGGCUUGCACCUUGAAAACCCCAUUCCUGUGCCCUCUGGAACAAGCAGUGUCAUCUACGUGUGAAUUCUUGCCCUUCGGAGAGGAAAGGAAUCCACGAGUGCACAUAACAAGCACCUUAUAAGCCCACAAAGAAGGAACUUUCGAAUGCCAUUAAAGCAGCCUAGAAGAUACAAUCACGUUUGAUGGUUUUACUGUAACUCUCUUCACCUUAAAAGCCA